rnacentral:rRNA from 1 species
GCAAGUCGAGCGCUCACCUUCGGGUGGGAGCGGCGGACGGGUUAGUAACGCGUGGGAACACACCCUUUUCUAUGGAAUAGCCUCGGGAAACUGAGAGUAAUACCAUAUACGCCCUUCGGGGGAAAGAUUUAUCGCCAAAGGAUUAGCCCGCGUUGGAUUAGGUAGUUGGUGGGGUAAUGGCCUACCAAGCCGACGAUCCAUAGCUGGUUUGAGAGGAUGAUC